rnacentral:rRNA from 1 species
ACGGUCCAGACUCCUACGGGAGGCAGCAGUGGGGAAUAUUGGACAAUGGGCGAAAGCCUGAUCCAGCCAUGCCGCAUGAGUGAAGAAGGCCUUUGGGUUGUAAAGCUCUUUUAGUGAGGAAGAUAAUGACGGUACUCACAGAAGAAGUCCUGGCUAACUCCGUGCCAGCAGCCGCGGUAAUACGGAGAGGGCUAGCGUUAUUCGGAAUUAUUGGGCGUAAAGGGCGCGUAGACGGAUUAGUACGUUAAAAGUGAAAUCCCAAGGCUCAACCUUGGAAUUGCUUUUAAAACUGCUAAUCUAGAGAUUGAAAGGGGAUAGAGGAAUUCCUAGUGUAGAGGUGAAAUUCGUAAAUAUUAGGAGGAACACCAGUGGCGAAGGCGUCUAUCUGGUUCAAAUCUGACGCUGAGGCGCGAAGGCGUGGGGAGCAAACAGGAUUAGAUACCCUGGUAGUCCACGCUGUAAACGAUGAAUGUUAAAUAUGGGAAGUUUUACUUUCUGUAUUACAGCUAACGCGUUAAACAUUCCGCCUGGGGACUACGGUCGCAAGAUUAAAACUCAAAGGAAUUGACGGGGACCCGCACAAGCGGUGGAGCAUGUGGUUUAAUUCGAUGCAACGCGAAAAACCUUACAACUCCUUGACAUGGAAAUUAUACCUAUUCGAAGGGACAGGGUCGGUUCGGCCGGGUUUCACACAGGUGUUGCAUGGCUGUCGUCAGCUCGUGUCGUGAGAUAUUGGGUUAAGUCCCGCAACGAGCGCAACCCUCAUCCUUAGUUACCAUCAGGUAAUGCUGGGGACUUUAAGGAAACUGCCAGUGAUAAACUGGAGGAAGGUGGGGAUGAUGUCAAGUCAUCAUGGCCCUUAUGGAGUGGGCUACACACGUGCUACAAUGGUGGCUACAAUGGGCUGCAAAGUCGCGAGGCUAAGCUAAUCCCUUAAAAGCCAUCUCAGUUCGGAUUGUACUCUGCAACUCGAGUGCAUGAAGUUGGAAUCGCUAGUAAUCGUGGAUCAGCACGCCACGGUGAAUACGUUCUCGGGUCUCGUACACACUGCCCGUCACGCCAUGGGAAUUGGUUUCACUCGAAGCUAACGACCUAACCGCAAGGAGGGAGUUAUUUAAAGUGGGAUCGGUGACUGGGGUGAAGUCGUAACAAGGUAACC